UUCACUGUACUACAAACAAAACUCUUCGGCAGUGAAUCCCAAGCUCAUUCUUGAUUUUCGAAUACCAUGGUGGCAUUUUUGUUUCUUUGAACUUGUGCAAGCAUCAUCACGGAUUCUCCUUGUAACCGAACCGAACCAGUCCAGGACGGCAUUUAUUUAUUUAUUUAUUCUUUCCUCGAGAACAACUGCACUGUAAUUUAGGGUUUGAAUUUGAUGAUUUAAACGUGUGGCGGUUCGGUUGUGUGUACUGACAAGUUGAUGCAACGAAACGACGGAGAAUAGGCAAAUGGUAGGUGCUGUUCCAGGCAACGAUGUCUGUAAUAAAUGGAGUGACGAGAAAAUGGAAGGAAAAGAGGGUUUCAAUGCUAUCGAGUGCCUCAGAGCAAGAUUGCUCGCAGAGAGACACGCCUCAAAACUGGCCAAUGACGAAGCAGAAUCUCUGGGCCUCAAGUUGAUUGAGCUGGAAAACAAACUCAGACAAAGAGAUUAAAUUCAAAGAGAGAGCCGAGAGAAGGCUCCGCUUUUUGGAGAAGAAGCUCAAGUCUUUCAACAUUUCAUCCACAUCAGGGGAAUCUGAGCAAUCU